ACGCUCGACACCUACGAGAGGCAGCAGGUGGGGAAUAUUGGGCAAUGGGCGCAAGCCUGACCCAGCAACGCCGCGUGAAGGAAGAAGGCUUUCGGGUUGUAAACUUCUUUUGUCAGGGAACAGUAGAAGAGGGUACCUGACGAAUAAGCCACGGCUAACUACGUGUCAGCAGCCGCGGUAAUCUGAGCGGGCGUGGCAAGGC
rnacentral:rRNA from 1 species